rnacentral:rRNA from 1 species
AUUGAACGCUGGCGGCAUGCUUUACACAUGCAAGUCGAACGGUAACAGGCCGCAAGGUGCUGACGAGUGGCGAACGGGUGAGUAAUGCAUCGGAACGUGCCCAGUCGUGGGGGAUAACGCAGCGAAAGCUGUGCUAAUACCGCAUACGAUCUAUGGAUGAAAGCGGGGGACCGUAAGGCCUCGCGCGAUUGGAGCGGCCGAUGUCAGAUUAGGUAGUUGGUGGGGUAAAGGCCCACCAAGCCAACGAUCUGUAGCUGGUCUGAGAGGACGACCAGCCACACUGGGACUGAGACACAGCCCAGACUCCUACGGGAGGCAGCAGUGGGGAAUUUUGGACAAUGGGCGCAAGCCUGAUCCAGCAAUGCCGCGUGCAGGAAGAAGGCCUUCGGGUUGUAAACUGCUUUUGUACGGGACGAAACGGUCUGGGUUAAUACCUCGGGCUAAUGACGGUACCGUAAGAAUAAGCACCGGCUAACUACGUGCCAGCAGCCGCGGUAAGAC